AGAUUGAACGCUGGCGGCAGGCCUAACACAUGCAAGUCGAGCGGUAGAGAGGUGCUUGCACCUCUUGAGAGCGGCGGACGGGUGAGUAAUGCCUAGGAAUCUGCCUAGUGGUGGGGGAUAACGUUCGGAAACGGCGCUAAUACCGCAUACGUCCUACGGGAGAAAGGCGGGGGACCUUCGGGCCUCGCGCCAUUAGAUGAGCCUAGGUCGGAUUAGCUA
rnacentral:rRNA from 1 species